rnacentral:rRNA from 1 species
GUCUAUGGCCAUGCCACCCUGAACAAACCUAAUGUCUGAUCUUGGAAGCUAAGCAGGUUCGGGCCCGGUUAGUACUCGGAUGGCUGACCACCUAGGAAGACCAGGUACUGUAGGCA